CGCGUUUUUUGCCCAGGCGGAGCUCGACCGCCGAUGCAAGCGCUGAGGAGUUUUGUCGACCAACACCGCCGGUCCUAUGGGGUCGAGCCUAUCUGCCGGGUCUUGCAGAUAGCUCCA
rfam:Acidithiobacillus caldus SM-1, complete genome.